UAUCACAUUUUCUGUAUUAUUCCAGAUUUUUUCAUAAAGAGAUUUUCUCACCACUGAGUUAAAAAGGAUUUACUUUUUAUGCUCAGAUCUUCAAUCAAAUGGCAUUCACUAUGGAUUAUGGUGACAUCUAUAUGGUGUUGAGUUCUAUUAAAGAAUACAGUAUGUCUUGGUGUGCCAGAC
rnacentral:lncRNA from 1 species